GGGAUUGCCCUAGUAACGGCGAGUGAAGCGGCAAUAGCUCAAAUUUGAAAUCUGGGUCCUUUUAGGGCUCCGAGUUGUAAUUUGCAGAGGGUGCUUUGGCGUAGGUAGCGGUCUAAGUUCCUUGGAACAGGACAUCGCAGAGGGUGAGAAUCCCGUUUGUGGUCGCAUGCCUUCGCCGUGUAAAGCCCCUUCGACGAGUCGAGUUGUUUGGGAAUGCAGCUCUAAAUGGGAGGUAAAUUUCUUCUAAAGCUAAAUACUGGCCAGAGACCGAUAGCGCACAAGUAGAGUGAUCGAAAGAUGAAAAGCACUUUGGAAAGAGAGUCAAACAGCACGUGAAAUUGUUGAAAGGGAAGCGCUUGCAGCCAGACUUGCCCGUAGUUGCUCACCUAGGCUUUUGCCUGGGGCAUUCUUCUGCGGGCAGGCCAGCAUCAGUUUGGGCGGUCGGAUAAAGGUCUCUGUCAUGUAGCUUCCUUCGGGAAGAACUUAUAGGGGAGGCGAAAUGCGACCAGCCCGGACUGAGGUCCGCGCUUCGGCUAGGAUGCUGGCGUAAUGGCUGUAAGCGGCCCGUCUUGAAACACGGACCAAGGAGUCUAACAUCUAUGCGAGUGUUUGGGUGUCAAGCCCGAGCGCGUAAUGAAAGUGAACGGAGGUGGGAACCCUUUGGGUGCACCAUCGACCGAUCCUGAUGUCUUCGGAUGGAUUUGAGUAAGAGCAUAGCUGUUGGGACCCGAAAGAUGGUGAACUAUGCUUGAAUAGGGUGAAGCCAGAGGAAACUCUGGUGGAGGCUCGCAGCGGUUCUGACGUGCAAAUCGAUCGUCAAAUUUGGGCAUAGGGGCG
rnacentral:rRNA from 2 species